rnacentral:rRNA from 1 species
UACAGAGGGGGCAAGCGUUUGUUCGGAAUUACUGGGCGUAAAGGGCGCGUAGGCGGCCUGCUAAGUCGAACGUGAAAUCCCCGGGCUCAACCCGGGAACUGCGUCCGAUACUGGCAGGCUUGAAUUCGGGAGAGGGAUGCGGAAUUCCAGGUGUAGCGGUGAAAUGCGUAGAUAUCUGGAGGAACACCGGUGGCGAAGGCGGCAUCCUGGACCGAAAUUUGACGCUGAGGAGCGAAAAGCGUGGGGGAGCAAACAGGG